rnacentral:lncRNA from 1 species
GGGGUCUCUAUGGGUUCCUAUGGGUCUCUAUGGGAUCUAUGGGUCCCAAUGGGGUCCCUAUGGGUCUUUAUGGGAUCUGUGGGUCUCUAUGGGUCUCUAUGGGUCUCUGUGGGUCUCUAUGGGUCCCUGUGGGUCUCUAUGGGUCUCUGUGGGUCUUUACAGGAUCUGUGGGUCUCUGUGGGUCUCUGUGGGUCUCUGUGGGUCUCUAUGGGUCUCUGUGGGUCUCUGUGUUUCUCUAUGGGUCUCUAUGGGUCUCUGUGUUUCUCUAUGGGUCUCUAUGGGUCUCUAUGGGUCUCUAUGGGUCCCUGUGGGUCUCUAUGGGUCUCUAUGGGUCUCUAUGGGUCUCUAUGGGUCUCUCUGUGGGUCUCUGUGGGUCUCUGUGGGUCUGUGUGGGUCUCUGUGGGUCUCUGUCCCUGCUCGUUGCCGUGGGGCGCCCCCCAAGCGCGCUCCCGCCCCACAGGACUCCAAGAGCAGCCUGACCGCGCUGCACCUCGCCGUGCGGGGGGGGAACCUGGCCCUGGCCCAGCUCCUCCUGCGCCAGCCCGGGGGGGGGGCCCGCCUCGUCAACAUGCAGGUGCCUAUGGGGCGGCCGUGGGGCGGCCGUGGGGCGGCUAUGGGGCGGCUGUGGGGCAGUUACGGGGUUUGGAGGGGGUCUGUGGGGCUCUGCCAGUCGGUGUAGGGAGCUGGGAGGACUCGGGGCUUUCCAUCAAUGGGGUGUCUAUGGGGCAGGGGCUGUGGGGCGGCCGUGGGGUGAGAGCUAUGGGGCGGCUGUGGGGCUCUGUGGGUCACAUGAUAGGUCUCAGUGGGUCACUGGGUCUCUGUGGGUCGCACUGUGGGUCGCUGUGGGUCGCUAUGGGUCCUGCUAUGGGUCGCUAUGGGUUGGAGUGGGUCUCUAUGGAUCCCGCUAUGGGUCGCUGUGGGUCUCUGUGGGUCACUGUGGGUCUCUAUGUGUCCUGCUGUGGGUUGCUAUGGGUUGCUAUGUGUCACUAUGGGUCGCUAUGGGUCGCUGUGUGUCUCUAUGGGUCCCUAUGGGUCUCUAUGGGUCACUGUGGGUCGCUAUGGGUCUCUAUGGGUCACUAUGGGUCGCUGUGGGUCCCCCUAUGGGUCUCUAUGGGUUGCUAUGGGUCUCCAUGGGUCACUGUGGGUCUCUAUGGGUACCGCUAUGGGUCACUAUGGGUCUCUAUGGGUCCCUCUAUGGGUCGCUAUGGGUCUGUAUGGGUUUCUAUGGGUCCCGCUAUGGGUCUCUAUGGGUCUCUAUGGGUUUCUAUGGGUCUCUAUGGGUCACUAGGAGUCUCUAUGGGUCUCUAUGGGCCUGCUAUGGGUCGCUAUGGGUCACUAUGGGUCUCUAUGUGUCCCGCUAUGGGUCUCUAUGGGUCUCUAUGGGUCUCUAUGGGUCACUAUGGGUCUCUAUGGGUCACUAUGGGCCCACUAUGGGUCGCU